rnacentral:lncRNA from 12 species
AACUCACACCUUCGUGGAAGGCAGGAGACAAACCUGCCAAGUGCUGAGCUACUGCAGGCCGGCUGCAACCCCGCCCUGGUAUUCUCGCCUGCGGCCUGGGGCGGACGCUGCGGAGCGCAGGCUGCCCGGCGGCUGGCUCCUGGUUGGGCUCCGCCAAGAGGGGGCGCUAGAGGGGCUGGAGGAGGAAGGAGCCGCUCGCCCCUUGCCGCUUGCUCCUUGCGGGGCUGCCGGGCUCCUCCCGUGUCUUACGAGCCUCCCGCGCAACCCGCCUCGGCCCAGACGGCUGCACUGCCUCAGCAGCCUCAGCAGCCUCAGCCUCUGACCUGCAUUUUCCCCAACUUGCAGAAUCCUCACCCUCGCUCCAUCUCCGAGACGGCGGCAGCAACCUCGCCUUCCCGCCUCUCCAUCCCGGAGGCACGCAGCGAAGCGGAUCCCCCUCCGAGGCCCAGGCUUCAGCUGCAGGGCGCCCCCUCCAGGUGUCCACGUCGGGCCUUUGGUUCACUCAUCCCUGGGCUUCUGUCUGCGGCCCGCGGUGAAGAAACUAAUGCACAGAAAAUUCUAGCAACAAGCCAGAAAUUAAACAGCUGGAAUAGAAGUUUAUAUAUUAGGAACGGUAUUCAUCUUCUGACAUCACCAAGUUGCCUAUCUCCUAAUCCACCAAGUAUCUUCUGACAUCACCAAGUUGCCUAUCUCCUAAUCCACCAAGUGAUCAUCUGUAUUUUUCUUUGUUUUAGAACAUUUUACCUUCAUCUUUUCCCCUUGUAAAGAUUACCUACUGAUAUUUUACAUAAAGGAGGAAACCCAAGUGACAUUUUUGGUGCAAAGAUUAUGAGGAAACCGGAGUUACAUGGAAACUUUUCAGCUCCUUUUUUUCUUAGGAUUCUUUUAUUUAUUUGAGAGAGAGAGAGAGAAAACCUGAGAGCACAUGUGGGAGGAGGAUUAGAGGGAGAGACUCUUCAAGCAGACUCCCCAAUGAGUGGACCUGAUGCAGGACAUGAUCUCAAGACCACCUAUGAGAUCAUGCCUUAAGCCAAAACCAAGAGUUAGACACCCAACUGCCUGAGCCACCCAAACAAGCCAAAACGUUUUGGUUCUGAGGGGAAGGUUCUAUAUGUCAGAAGAUGCCAAAGCUUGUGAAAAGAUUCAAUGAUACUUCUGGAGCUGUUAGAUGCAUUGAUGGGUUUAUACAUUCUAUCUUCCCUGAUACUAUUAAGUUGAGCCAUAUGAUACUGUAAUGAAAUGUGGGUUGUACAGCAGAGUGAAGAUAGAUCAUCUGGAAGAGAACAGUGAAGUGUUUCAGUGGAAAAAAGUUUUAUUGACUUCUAUAAAUGUUAGUUAACAUAUAUUCCCCUAAGGAUAAGUUGGACAUGUCCAAUCUUCCCUCUACUCCUGGCAAGUAUAUUGAAGUCCACAAAUCUUCCAGAGAGCCAGCAAACUCUACUAAUCUCUACUUUUUUUUAGAUUUUAUUUAUUUAUUCAUGAGAGACACAGAGAGGCAGAGACAUAGGCAGAGGGAGCAGCAGGCGCCUUGCGAAGAGCCCAGUGUGGGACUCAUCCCAGGGCCCUGGGAUCACGACCUGAGCCGAAGGCAGAUGCUCAACCACUAAGCCACCUAGGUGCCCCCUAAUCUCUACUUUUAAUGAAUAUUACCAAUAUUUACCAAUCUCUAUUAUUAUAGAGACACCUUCUUCCUUCAAGGAGCUCUGAAUCUAUAGGGCGAAGACAUACAACCAGUUAUGUCACAACAUGUUCAUGGCCAUGAUGGAUGCAUGCUCAAAGUGUAACAGAAGCCUAGAAGAAGGAGUACCUAUGACUCCUUGGGGGAAUCAGGAAGGCUCCAGAGAAGGACAUGUGGGUGGACUUGGGUUAUAGAGACAGAAAUAAAUAAGGAUCUCUGCCAUAGCA